GGGAUUGCCCUAGUAACGGCGAGUGAAGCGGCAAUAGCUCAAAUUUGAAAUCUGGCUCCUUUUAGGGGUCCGAGUUGUAAUUUGCAGAGGGUGCUUUGGCGUUGGUAGCGGUCUAAGUUCCUUGGAACAGGACAUCGCAGAGGGUGAGAAUCCCGUUUGUGGUCGCAUGCCUUCGCCGUGUAAAGCCCCUUCGACGAGUCGAGUUGUUUGGGAAUGCAGCUCUAAAUGGGAGGUAAAUUUCUUCUAAAGCUAAAUACUGGCCAGAGACCGAUAGCGCACAAGUAGAGUGAUCGAAAGAUGAAAAGCACUUUGGAAAGAGAGUCAAACAGCACGUGAAAUUGUUGAAAGGGAAGCGCUUGCAGUCAGACUUGCCCGUAGUUGCUCACCUAGGCUUUUGCCUGGGGCAUUCUUCUGCGGGCAGGCCAGCAUCAGUUUGGGCGGUCGGAUAAAGGUCUCUGUCAUGUAGCUUCCUUCGGGAAGAACUUAUAGGGGAGACGAAAUGCGACCAGCCUGGACUGAGGUCCGCGCUUCGGCUAGGAUGCUGGCGUAAUGGCUGUAAGCGGCCCGUCUUGAAACACGGACCAAGGAGUCUAACAUCUAUGCGAGUGUUUGGGUGUCAAGCCCGAGCGCGUAAUGAAAGUGAACGGAGGUGGGAACCCUUUGGGUGCACCAUCGACCGAUCCUGAUGUCUUCGGAUGGAUUUGAGUAAGAGCAUAGCUGUUGGGACCCGAAAGAUGGUGAACUAUGCUUGAAUAGGGUGAAGCCAGAGGAAACUCUGGUGGAGGCUCGCAGCGG
rnacentral:rRNA from 1 species